GGAAGCUUAGGACAUCUCUCAGCUAAUGGGACCCAUACAUGAAAUAUUGCCCAGAAAUGGCUCCAAAGAAUUUUCAGCAUCAAUCAACAAGAUAGAUGAAGAGAAAGAGAGAAGCAGCACAACUUGCCCACAUAUGAAGUCAAGAGAUGGAGGAGUUUGUGGUUGCAUGCUGCACUGCUUGGUGGAUACGUGCCUGGCCUGGCUAUAGUGUUUCCAACUUGCGAAAUCCUGAUUUGGGUCAACAUCUGAACUCCGUCCAUGUGUGUGUAAUUCACGGAUCAAGAGGUUGAUCAUCAGAACUUUUUUGUGGUUCAGGGACAUUAGAUACUGGAAUUUUGGUAUAAUUCUGUGUCUAGCAGGAAGGAAAGGGCCAGAAAGGGAACUGAUAAUGAUUUGA